rnacentral:rRNA from 1 species
AUUGAACGCUGGCGGCAUGCCUUACACAUGCAAGUCGAACGGUAACGGGCCUUCGGGUGCCGACGAGUGGCGAACGGGUGAGUAAUACAUCGGAACGUGCCCGAUCGUGGGGGAUAACGAGGCGAAAGCUUUGCUAAUACCGCAUACGAUCUACGGAUGAAAGCAGGGGACCGCAAGGCCUUGCGCGGACGGAGCGGCCGAUGGCAGAUUAGGUAGUUGGUGGGAUAAAAGCUUACCAAGCCGACGAUCUGUAGCUGGUCUGAGAGGAUGAUCAGCCACACUGGGAGUGAGAACCGGCCCAGCCCCUACCGGAGGGCCGCAGUGGGGAAUUUUGGAAAAAGGGCGGAACCCUGCACCACCCUAGCACGGGUGAGGAUGAAGGCCUUCGGGUGGAAAACUGUUUUUUUACGGAAGAAAAAGCCUUUUUUUAAAAAAGGAGGGAAUUGAGGUAACGGAAAAAAAAACAACCGGCUACCUCGUU